AGUGAACGCUGGCGGCAUGCCUAAUACAUGCAAGUCGAACGGCCGCACAGUAAGCUUUCGCCUCUACGGGUGGCGACUGGCGGAUGGGUGAGGCAUACAUCGCCUUCCUCUUAUUCUUGGGUGACUUCGUGGGGACAGUGCUGCUAACGGCGCAUAUGUUGUACCGGUUGAUUCAGGGGUGCUAGACAGUCUUCGUGUCUCUAAUAGACGAUGUCGGAUUAGCUAGUUGGCGGGGUAAAGGCCCACCAAGGCGACGAUCCGUAGCUGGUCUGAGAGGACGAUCAGCCACACUGGAACUGAGACACGGUCCAGACUCCUACGGGAGGCAGCAGUGGGGAAUAUUGGACAAUGGGCGCAAGCCUGAUCCAGCCAUACCGCGUGGGUGAAGAAGGCCUUCGGGUUGUAAAGCCCUUUUGUUGGGAAAGAAAAGCAGCAGGUUAAUACCCCGCUGUUCUGACGGUACCCAAAGAAUAAGCACCGGCUAACUUCGUG
rnacentral:rRNA from 1 species